rnacentral:pre_miRNA from 1 species
AUUUAGGGCAAUCUAUUCAAGUAGUAAUAAUUAUUCUUUAAAAAAAAGAAUUUUAGAUAGUUUUCACUUUAAGUCAAGUCUCUUGU